CAGCCGCCGCGGGAAUACGUAGGUGGCAAGCGUUGCCCGGAAUUAUUGGGCGUAAAGGGCUCGCAGGCGGUUUCUUAAGUCUGAUGUGAAAGCCCCCGGCUCAACCGGGGAGGGUCAUUGGAAACUGGGAAACUUGAGUGCAGAAGAGGAGAGUGGAAUUCCACGUGUAGCGGUGAAAUGCGUAGAGAUGUGGAGGAACACCAGUGGCGAAGGCGACUCUCUGGUCUGUAACUGACGCUGAGGAGCGAAAGCGUGGGGAGCGAACAGGAUUAGAUACCCCAGUAGUCCCUGUCUCUUAUAC
rnacentral:rRNA from 1 species